rnacentral:rRNA from 1 species
AUUGAACGCUGGCGGCAUGCCUUACACAUGCAAGUCGAACGGUAACAGGUUAAGCUGACGAGUGGCGAACGGGUGAGUAAUGCAUCGGAACGUGCCCGAUCGUGGGGGAUAACGCAGCGAAAGCUGCGCUAAUACCGCAUACGAUCUGAGGAUGAAAGCGGGGGAUCGUAAGGCCUCGCGCGAUCGGAGCGGCCGAUGUCAGAUUAGGUAGUUGGUGGGGUAAAGGCCCACCAAGCCGACGAUCUGUAGCUGGUCUGAGAGGACGACCAGCCACACUGGGACUGAGACACGACCCAGACUCCUACGGGAGGCAGCAGUGGGGAAUUUUGGACAAUGGGCGAAAGCCUGAUCCAGCAAUGCCGCGUGCAGGAAGAAGGCCUUCGGGUUGUAAACUGCUUUUGUACGGAGCGAAAGGGCCCUUUCUAAUACAAGGGGCUCAUGACGGUACCGUAAGAAUAAGCACCGGCUAACUACGUGCCAGCCGCCGCAGUAA